rnacentral:lncRNA from 1 species
GUCGUGUCGUGUCUUGUUUUGUCGUGAUCUCGUCUCGUCUCACCAGACACAUUGGCAGCACUGAAUUGGGGGCAGGGGUCCCACGCGCACAGAUAUUGGGGGGAUAUUUGGUUGGCGGUGCUGUUGGGGCGAUAGCACCUGAAAGCGCCGGCGGAAAUCCUCUGUCAGUCCAUCAAUAUCAAUCCGAGGAGCGAGUGACAAACCAAGAGGCAAAAGAGACAAAGAUCCGAUCCAAUCCGAUUCGAUUCGAUUCGAUUCGAUCCUGAGACAAAGACAAGGCAUCGAUCGCACUUGCCACGCAAUUUUCAAAGCCAUUCGGGGCUUCGAAGUCGGAAUCGGAUUCCUUGUCAGGUGUCACACGAUGCCACAAGGCACACACAACACAAACCGCCUGUCGUCUCCGAGUGGCAACUGGAGUAGGAGGCUGGAGGCUGGACACUCUGGAUCUGGACUUUGUGGCAUGCAAACGCCUCGGCAACCGAAUCGAUUGUGAGGCUCGCUCUUUCUCACUCUCUCUCUCUCUGUUUCUCUAUGUUUCUGUUUGGAUCUG